rnacentral:rRNA from 1 species
ACUCCUACGGGAGGCAGCAGUGGGGAAUAUUGCACAAUGGGGGAAACCCUGAUGCAGCCAUGCCGCGUGUGUGAAGAAGGCCUUCGGUUGUAAAGCACUUUCAGUAGGGAGGAAGGUAGUGUAGUUAACACCUGCAUUAUUUGACGUUACCUACAGAAGAAGCACCGGCUAACUCCGUGCCAGCAGCCGCGGUAAUACGGAGGGUGCGAGCGUUAAUCGGAAUUACUGGGCGUAAAGCGCAUGCAGGCGGCCUGUUAAGUCAGAUGUGAAAGCCCGGGGCUUAACCUCGGAAUUGCAUUUGAAACUGGCAGGCUAGAGUCUUGUAGAGGGGGUAGAAUUUCAGGUGUAGCGGUGAAAUGCGUAGAGAUCUGAAGGAAUACCAGUGGCGAAGGCGGCCCCUCGGACAAAGACUGACGCUCAGAUGCGAAAGCGUGGGGAGCAAACAGGAUUAGAUACCCUGGUAGACUGUCA